rnacentral:misc_RNA from 1 species
UUACUCAAUGCCAAAAAUCUAAGAGGGAUGGAGACCAGCAGCAUGGCAGCAGGAGCUAAUGUUGGUCGUGAUGAGGCAUAUACCACCAUCAACAAUGCUGCAAUUGCAGUCACCACCACCAAGUCUGCUUCUGUCACUGCCAUCACCAUUGCCACCGCCAUUACCAAGACCACUCCUGACACAAAGCCCCCAAGUCCUCAACUGACCAGAUAUUGCAGCUGGAGAAGGAUAUACCAGGAACUUCAAAGCCAGGGCUUGCCAGUCUCCUACAAUAAGAAAAAUGCCAUGGGCCCAUCUAAUGAACUAGUAGUAGAAUAUUUGGCCACAGUUGUAGAAAUGCAGAGACUAACAUACUGCCACAGGUGAGGUUUUGUCCACAGUUCCAGAAGGACACAAAAUAGUAUCAGAAAGUCAUGCCAGAAUCAACAACUGAAGGGUUUGAAGAGCCAGAUAAAGAGCCGAGAAAUGUGAUUUUAAAGGUACUUCAAUCACAUGCACAGUAGGAGCAAAAACAG